CGAGUCAGCCGGCUGAACACAUGCCCGCUCGACGCACGCGUAGACAAAAGCAGAGCCGCAGAGCCCAGAACACUGGGAAGACCCAAAACACAAGAGUUCCGACUGCUCUUUUAAGAGGUGCCGAGAGAACAUACACUGGCCUUUGAAAAUGAACAAACACUACAAGCAAACACUCAAGACUACUGCAGCUUCUCUCUCAACAAGCUUAAUUGACUGCAUCGUGGAAGGAUCAGAACUGGGCCUAGUGGGAGGAGGCAGAGGCGUGGCCACAGCUAAUGAAGAUGGCCUGCACUGGUGAGAGUGGCAAACACCUUUGCGAAUGUUCUCUCAGUGAAGGUAAGCCCUGCACAGAGAAGGGGGGAGGGGCAACUACAGGAAGCAGCAGGGGGAGGCAGAGGGGAGAUGAUAAGAAGUCCCUCCCAGAGACAGUGGCUGCGGGGAGUGGAGGAGAUGCGCAGCCCUACUUCUGGGCCGUACGCUGGAAUAUCACAGACAGCAUACAGGAGAAGGUCCGCUUCAAUGACCUGGAGGACCCCCCUUCCUCACACUGCUCUACCCAAACAAGCUCAUUACCGACAGGGAAGGUGGAGGUCGAGGAAUGCUAACUGCUAAACUCUGAUGAGAGUAAUGCUGCAGAGCUAAUCCACAAUCACCAAGAAACCAGGUAUGCAUUAUUAACAAGGUUUUGCUGUGGCUUUCAUGUUGUUCAUGUGGAACUGUGGAAGUAGAACAGAGUGAUCGACAGACACACUAAAACAGUAUAAUGCAUGCGCAUGUUUUUAUUUCCCUGUAUUUUCAUAACAGUUACUUCUCUCUUCUAAAAGUCCUCAGACAAUGGUAGUAUGCAUUCCCUGUACAUCAUCCUUUUACUAUUUUUGUGUAGAACAAUAUAUAUGUAGCUAAGUAAAAACAACAUGGAACCGCCAGUUUUGUCGCUAAUUUGCCACAAGCAAUGUUACAUUGGAGCAUUACAAGGAAUUUCCAUUUCCUAUUCCUUUUAGAAGUCCAGACCACUGUCCAUAAAGCUGCCAUUAAGCAGAAAGGUAUGCAUUAUUCAGGAGUUUCCUGUUGUUGCAUUCAUGUCUUGUCUCAGGAUAGAGUUAAACCUCUUUAACAGAGGAAAAAAAAAUUCUUUCUUUAGAGUCAGUGUGCUAUUCCAGUCAGUUAUGGAGGGAGGUAGGUGUUAUCAC